rnacentral:rRNA from 1 species
UGAGGAAUAUUGCCCAAUGGGGGAAACCCUGAGGCAGCAACGCCGCGUGGAGGAAGAAGGUCUUUACGAUCGUAAACUUCUUUUGUGAGGGAAGAGGAAGGACGGUACCUCAUGAAUAAGUCACGGCUAACUACGUGCCAGCAGCCGCGGUAAUACGUAGGUGACGAGCGUUAUCCGGAAUUACUGGGCGUAAAGCGUACGCAGGCGGCAUGGUAAGUCUGACGUGAAAUCUCCUGGCUUAACUGGGAGAGGUCGUUGGAGACUGCUGUGCUUGAGACAAUGAGAGGGGUGCAGAAUUCCCGGUGUAGUGGUGGAAUGCGUAGAUAUCGGGAGGAAUACCAGAGGCGAAAGCGGCACCCUGGCAUUGGUCUGACGCUCAUGUACGAAAGCGUGGGUAGCAAACGGG